AACUGGCACGCUCACGAACCUAAAGGCAAGAUUUUUGAUCCUGCACUGAAGUUAAGCAAAUCUUUCAGGCCUCGUGUUUUCGCAUCAACACACAUAUAUGUACGUAAUAUUUGUGUCCAAUAAAUCCUAAUGACUAGUUUUGCAUCGUUUAAGAGUAGGAAGCUCUUAAAAUUGAUUUUCGUUCUAUCAGUCACAUGUUCUUAUAAACCAGUCUGAAGCUGACUUAUGUACCUUGCCCAAGCGAAACUGCUCGAUGGAUCGAUGUUAUCCUCUGAAUUGGGUAGUACAUGCAUGUAAAUUAAUCAACCACAUGAACAUCCCAUCACAACGAAAGAUGGAUCGAUGCUACUGCAUGCUGAAAGCGUCGAUAAGAGUUAUCAUAACAAUAAUAAGGUUUCGUCAAUGCCGUAUCCCAGAAGAUGCAGUGUGGAAUUAAUGCUGCUCUAUAUAUAUACGUUUAUCUUUAAUUAUGUUUGUCAAUAGUGUGGCGCCAAUGGAUUGUGGAUCGAUUAGUGAGAUGUUCUGAGGUCAUUUACAAAUGAGAUUAGCACAGAUGGCUUCCACCUAAUGUCUGAGCGAUGCUGCAUAUAUAUAAAACUAUGAGAGUACUAAUCAUGAUUAAUCACUAAGGGCGUUAUAUUAUAUUUAGCCAGCAUGUAUAUAUUGAUCAAUAAUUAUUGUCUCAUCAUGCAUGAAAAGUACACAUGAUUGCUCUAUGUCUGACAUUUAUUUUAUUAUAGUUCCUUUUUUUAAUAAAGUCGCAUCUUGCAUAGUCACAUUGCAGAACCAGCCGGCCGUAUGAAACUUUGAUGCAUGCCUGCAUCAAUACCUUAUAUCAAUCAAAUUAAAUUAGCACAUGCAAAGGAAAGUUGGUAAAGAAAUACAACACCAUGCCAGUUGCACGAAAAUAAUCAAAAAAAAACUCCAAUUAAUAUACCUUUUAUAUCAUACUGAUUUACUAUCAUGAUCUUGAAUGCUGAAUUAGAAAUCAGUUGCAACUAAGCUGCCAGUAUAUUUACCUAAUUAUAAGUUUACUGAAAGAUAAUGAAUGACUCUAAAAUAUAUACAAACUGAUGCUUCAUUUCGAUUUCAGACAAAGAAUUAGUCAGCGAAACAAACUUGAAGUUUAUCCCAAGUUGCAACAUUUUAUCAUUUCUUGGUCAAAUCCAUGAUGCAAGCUUAGUAGGACAAAGAAAAAAUCGCUACUUUAAUGGUUGAUUCCAAUCUUGACACUAUACUCCAAGUAUCUUUCGCUCUAGGUUUGCCAAAGAGCACAGGAACGUGGUCCUAGUGUGUGUAUUUUACUAUUUUAGCAAUAAAGUCAUGGUUGCUUCAGUAGAAAGACCAAAGAUGUUUGGAACUUUGGGUGUAUAUAUAGUUCGUUGCCAUAAUUCUGUGGUAAUAAGUAAAAAUACAGAGCACACCGUAGGUGAGUUCAAUUUCUUCAUUGACUUUAUUUGAAUGUAGUCAUUUCGAAUUCUGCACCAUUUCUGUUUUAAUAAGAGGAUCGAAGCAUCUCAAAUUCUCCGCGGUUUCUACAGGGUUGCCACAGUUCACAUUGAGAUCAUAGCUCAAAACAACGCCAGGUCGAAAGAUAGCAGAGGAUGAAAAAUCAAUCAGUGCCAACGUUCCCUGUAGAAUGUGCAGCUGGAGAUAACACGAUCACGCAUCAAAAGACAAAUUCCGGCCAUACGCCGCAGGUUUUACAGUCUGUCUGUCCUGCCAUCAUCAUGUAUGCAUGGCCUGCAAAAGACGCAAAGGAAAAAAAAGGAAGAGCAAAUCAGAGGAAUACAGACAGAAUAAAAGCCUUAUAGCCUCUCAAUGUAGCAGCAGCAUGCAUAUUAGCCUAUAGGCAGGGCAUAAACAUGCCUGAUCCAAGGAAAGCAGCAGAGCAGACAUCAAGCAAAAGGCAAACUGUUGGCAGAUUUUGGCUCAACAGAAUUUGCCAUGUAAGUAGCAUGCAUGCUUGCUUUGUGCCUUUCAUAUUGACAGCCUGCAUUUUGUGCCAAAGGUAAAGGAGAUGUAGAGAGCAGUCACCAUCUUCCUAUCUGUCUCUCUAGACUCGAGUCACCACCUUUACUUUUGUAGCUUUUUUUGAAAAUAA